CCACUCCACUCUCCACUCCAGUUCCUUUAUUUCCAUUUCAUUUCCGCCACUCCAUUUCAUUUCGGUUUUCUCCAGUCCACUUCAUCUGAUGGUCUUCCACUUUACUCCAUCCCAUUUCCCACCCCUCCACUCCUUUUCAUUCCCCUCUUUCCUCCAAUUUAUUUUCCUCCACUCUGCUUCAUUUCAUUGAACUCUAUUCAGUUUAUUUCAUUUCCCACCACGCCACUCCAUUUCAUUUCGGUUUUCUCCAGUCCACUUCAUCUGAUGGUCUUCCACUUUACUCCAUCCCAUUUCCCACCCCUCCACUCCUUUUCAUUCCCCUCUUUACCUCACAAUUUAUUUUCCUCCACUCUGCUUCAUUUCAUUGAACUCUAUUCAGUUUAUUUCAUUUCCCAACACUCCACUCCAUUUCAUUUCCCACCACUUCGUGCAGUUUUUGUCCACUGCACUCCAUAAAAUUUAGCCCCCUCAACUCCACUGUUUCAUUUUCCCCAGUCCUCGUCAAAUAAUAUUUUUCCUCUCCUCUCCUCUCCUCUCCUCUCCUCUCCUCUCCUCUCCUCUCCUCUCCUCUCCUCUCCUCUCCUCUCCUCUCCUCUCCUCUCCUCUCCUCUCCUCUCCUCUCCUCUCCUCUCCUCUCCUCUCCUCUCCUCUCCUCUCCUCUCCUCUCCUCUCCACUCCACUCCACUCCACUCCACUCCACUCCACUCCACCUCACUCCACUCCACUCCUGUUCCUUUAUUUCCAUUUCAUUUACCGCCACUCCAUUUCAUUUCGGUUUUCUCCAGUCCUCUUCAUCUGAUGGUCUUCCACUUUACUCCAUCCCAUUUCCCACCCCUCCACUCCUUUUCAUUCCCCUCUUUCCUCCAAUUUAUUUUCCUCCACUCUGCUUCAUUUCAUUGAACUCUAUUCAGUUUAUUUCAUUUCCCACCACCCACUCCAUUUCUUUCCCACCGCUACGUGCAGUUUUUGUCCACUGCACUCCAUAA
rnacentral:lncRNA from 7 species